rnacentral:rRNA from 1 species
CCUACGGGCGGCAGCAGUGAGGAAUAUUGGUCAAUGGACGAGAGUCUGAACCAGCCAAGUAGCGUGAAGGAUGACUGCCCUAUGGGUUGUAAACUUCUUUUAUCUGGGAAUAAAGUGUUCCACGUGUGGGAUUUUGUAUGUAACAUAUGAAUAAGGAUCGGCUAACGCCGUGCCAGGCGCCGCGGUAAUAGGGAGGAUCCGAGCGUGAUCCGGAUUUAUUGGGUUUAAAGGGAGCGUAGGUGGGUUGUUAAGCCAGUUGUGAAAGUUUGCGGCUCAACCGUAAAAUUGCAGUUAAAACUGGCAGUCGUGAGUACAGUAGAGGUGUGCGGAAUUCGUGGUGUAGCGGUGAAAUGCUUAGAUAUCACGAAGAACUCCGAUUGCGAAGGCAGCUCACUGGACUGCAACUGACACUGAGGCUCGAAAGUGUGGGUAUCAAACAGGAUUAGAUACCCUUGUAGUC